AUUGAACGCUGGCGGCAGGCUUAACACAUGCAAGUCGAGCGGAGAGAAGUAGCUUGCUACUGAUCUUAGCGGCGGACGGGUGAGUAAUGCUUAGGAAUCUGCCUAUUAGUGGGGGACAACAUUUCGAAAGGAAUGCUAAUACCGCAUACGUCCUACGGGAGAAAGCAGGGGAUCUUCGGACCUUGCGCUAAUAGAUGAGCCUAAGUCGGAUUAGCUAGUUGGGGGGGUAAAGGCCUACCAAGGCGACGAUCUGUAGCGGGUCUGAGAGGAUGAACGGCCACACUGGGACUGAGACACGGCCCAGACUCCUACGGGAGGCAGCAGUGGGGAAUAUUGGACAAUGGGCGGAAGCCUGAUCCAGCCAUGCCGCGUGUGUGAAGAAGGCCUUAUGGUUGUAAAGCACUUUAAGCGAGGAGGAGGCUACUUUAGUUAAUACCUAGAGAUAGUGGACGUUACUCGCAGAAUAAGCACCGGCUAACUCUGUGCCAGCAGCCGCCGUAAAAC
rnacentral:rRNA from 1 species